rnacentral:misc_RNA from 1 species
GACAGAAGUUGAAAUGAUUAGUAUGGCCGUGCAUCGAAAUCUACUUCGUUUAUGGGGCUUUUGCAUGACAGCAACUGAACGGUUGCUUGUUUAUCCAUAUAUGGCAAAUGGAAGUGUUGCUUCACGCUUGAGAGAGCGGCCAGAAUCAGAUCCACCACUUGGCUGGCCUAUAAGGAAGUGUAUAGCACUUGGAUCUGCAAGAGGCCUU